UACGUAGGGUGCGAGCGUUAAUCGGAAUUACUGGGCGUAAAGCGUGCGCAGGCGGUUUGGUAAGACAGAUGUGAAAUCCCCGGGCUUAACCUGGGAACUGCAUUUGUGACUGCAUGGCUAGAGUACGGUAGAGGGGGAUGGAAUUCCGCGUGUAGCAGUGAAAUGCGUAGAUAUGCGGAGGAACACCGAUGGCGAAGGCAAUCCCCUGGACCUGUACUGACGCUCAUGCACGAAAGCGUGGGGAGCAAACAGG
rnacentral:rRNA from 1 species